GAUGAAGAACGCAGUGAAAUGCGAUAAGUAGUGUGAAUUGCAGAAUUCAGUGAAUCAUCGAAUCUUUGAACGCACAUUGCGCCCCUUGGUAUUCCAUGGGGCAUGCCUGUUCGAGCGUCAUUUGUACCCUCAAGCUCUGCUUGGUGUUGGGUGUUUGUCUCGCGGUUCUGCGCAGACUCGCCUUAAAACAAUUGGCAGCCGGCUUGUUAGCCUGGAGCGCAGCACAUAUUGCGCCUCUUGCUAGCGACUGCCCGGCACCCAUCAAGCCCAUUUAUUUGCUCUUGACCUCGGAUCAGGUAGGGAUACCCGCUGAACUUAAGCAUAUCAAUAAGCGGAGGA
rnacentral:misc_RNA from 1 species